rnacentral:rRNA from 1 species
AUCGGAAUUACUGGGCGUAAAGCGCACGCAGGCGGUUUGUUAAGUCAGAUGUGAAAUCCCCGCGCUUAACGUGGGAACUGCAUUUGAAACUGGCAAGCUAGAGUCUUGUAGAGGGGGGUAGAAUUCCAGGUGUAGCGGUGAAAUGCGUAGAGAUCUGGAGGAAUACCGGUGGCGAAGGCGGCCCCCUGGACAAAGACUGACGCUCAGGUGCGAAAGCGUGGGGAGCAAACAGGAUUAGAUACCCUGGUAGUCCACGCUGUAAACGAUGUCGACUUGGAGGUUGUGCCCUUGAGGCGUGGCUUCCGGAGCUAACGCGUUAAGUCGACC